rnacentral:ncRNA from 1 species
UUUUUCACAAGAUUUAUGCAGGUACAGCACUAGGAAUUCCAUACUCUGUGUUUUCAACACAGGUUAAAUUGGGGGGUGUUGCAACUCUACCAUUGGAAAUUAAUCUCGGAAUGACAUAAAUUGAUAGUAAGUAUUCAGACUGUUCAUGAUAAGGUGGGCAGUCAAAACGGAAACAGCCGUGAGCAUGUAUUAAGGUCCCAAAAUGAUUAUUAAGUGAAACAAAGGAAGUUACUCUCUAAAUACAGCUAUAAAGUGAGCUUGGCAGUCGCUAUCUUUUAAUGACCGUGUAACAACGCAGUAGUCUAAUGGAGUUUAGCACCGAAAAUUUAACGGGUCUAGAUAAUCUACCGAAAUCAUGCCGCUUCGACAUAUUGUGUCCCUGGUUGUAGUAUGAUAUGUCCAAGUUGGGUAGUGGAACAUUCAGAACGGAUGAAGAACAGUGUUUCAUUGUUUGGACGUAACUGAAGAG